AGAAAGACUCGACAAAGCUAAAAUUGAGAGCCUAACCAAAUUUUGUUCUCAGAAGAUUCACAAGAGAUAUAAUGUUAUAGUAACAACCAACAGCACUAUUAACAGGGAAGAGUUGUUAUAUGUGCUUCGUGGUGGCCGCCUUGACGACAAGGUGGAAGAAGCAGUUUUGGACACGAUUAGCCAGGAGGCAUACGGCAAAGGAUAUGGAGUGGUAUCGGUGUUCUUUCUUCACUCACUCUAUGGCUUGGAGGUGAACAAUUACGAGC